CCAAGGAGGCAGUUUUAUACAAACACCUGUUUCUGGAAGGCACAGUUUGCAUCACAGCCCACAUCAACUUUUAAACAAUCCGAGGUCACCACUUUCAUCUUCUACAAUAUUAAAUAAUGCCUUGCAGCAACGACCUCAUCAACUUCCCAUUGAUUUUCAGAGGCAUAGAGGACAGUUAAACAAUCUGAGGUUACCACUUUCAUCUUCUACAGUAUCAAGUAAUGCCUUGCAGCAACAACCUCAUCAACUUCCCAUUGAUUUUCAGCGGCAUAGAGGACAGUUAAAUAAUCCGAGGUUACCACUUUCAUCUUCUACAGUAUCAAGUAAUGCCUUGCAGCAACGACCUCGUCAACUUCCCAUUGAUUUUCAGCGGCAUAGAGGACAGUUAAACAAUCCGAGGUUACCACUUUCAUUUUCUACAGUAUCAAGUAAUGCCUUGCAGCAACAACCUCAUCAACUUCCCAUUGAUUUUCAGCGGCAUAGAGGGCAGGUCCAUGAUCUCAGGAUAAGCAGAGAAACCUUGGCCAGUAAGAGUUUAGCAGAAAAUAAAGGAUUUAUUUUCAAUUCAUAUUUGGAUCAAGACCAUCAGUCAGCUGAU
rnacentral:lncRNA from 1 species